rnacentral:tRNA from 1 species
GCCCGGGUGGUGAAAUCGGUAAACACAGCGGACUUAAAAUCCGCCGCCUCUCGCAAGAGGGCUUGCGGGUUCGAAGCCCGCCCCGGGCACCA